rnacentral:rRNA from 1 species
GUCUACAGCCAUGCCACCCUGAACGUGCCCGAUCUCAUCUGAUCUCGGAAGCUAAGCAAGGUUGGGCCUGGAUAGUAUUUGGACAGAAGACCACUUAGGAAUACCAGGUGCUGUAGGCA